GAGAGGAUGGGGUGCGGGGAGGAUAGAGGCUGAGGUGUGAGGAUUGCUUGAGCCCAGAAAGUCGAGGCUGCAGUGAGCUUCAACUUGGGCGACAGAGUGAGACCCUGUCUCAAAAAAAAAGAACUUUAAGAAGUCAAGACAAAAAGAAAAUAUUUGUUAAACAUUUUAAACAACUGAAACUACACUAAAAAUCACAACUCAAGAGUGAAACUAACAGGCUCGUUUUCUAAGGGGAGAUCGGACAUGAUAGAUGUUUUUCCCAGCCUGUCUUCUAAGCAUCCACAUCACACUCGCAGAUGGCCCUUCCAUCUGACAAAUCGUGUACUAAUUAUUUUUCAAAAUGUGUAUGAGUUGAAGAUCUCCCUAAUGACUGUGCAACUAUUCAAAUGUUGAACACAACUUAGCUGGAGAAAUCUGGAGAAGUCUGGCUGGGAAGGGAAGAAGAAGCAGGAAAACAGGGCUAAGCCAAGACGUGCAGCUGGAGCAGAAGGAGUCAGAACGGGCUGGCAGAGAGCGCUGAGCUCCCAGCAGGGGAAGAAACCAAAGAACAUGGAGGCUCCUGCGACGAGAGGCCUGCAUAGCGCUAGCCAUGGAGACCAUAGUGGUGGGCAACGCAGACACGACCCUGUCGUCACAAAACUUAAAGUUUAAAGAAGACAGACUAAUAAAAUAAUCACAGAAACGAAUAUCUGCUGCGAAGCAGUAGGAAGUGCCCUGCGGUCUGUUUCCCCUAGCAGAGACUGGCCUUGUGGCGGAAGACCCCCGCGCGUAGGGAGGGCC
rnacentral:lncRNA from 1 species